rnacentral:rRNA from 1 species
UACGAAGGGGGCUAGCGUUGUUCGGAAUUACUGGGCGUAAAGGGCGCGUAGGCGGUGUGUCAAGUCAGGCGUGAAAAGCCCCCGGGCUCAACCUGGGAACCGCGCUUGAGACUGGCACGCUCGAGUUCGGGAGAGGAUGGUGGAAUUCCCAGUGUAGAGGUGAAAUUCGUAGAUAUUGGGAAGAACACCGAUGGCGAAGGCAGCCAUCUGGACCGACACUGACGCUGAGGCGCGAAAGCGUGGGGAGCAAACAGG